rnacentral:rRNA from 1 species
GUACCUACGGGAGGCAGCAGUGGGGAAUAUUGCACAAUGGGGGAAACCCUGAUGCAGCGACGCCGCGUGAGCGAUGAAGUAUUUCGGUAUGUAAAGCUCUAUCAGCAGGGAAGAAGAUGACGGUACCUGACUAAGAAGCCCCGGCUAACUACGUGCCAGCAGCCGCGGUAAUACGUAGGGGGCAAGCGUUAUCCGGAUUUACUGGGUGUAAAGGGAGCGUAGACGGCCAUGCAAGCCAGGGGUGAAAGCCCGGGGCCCAACCCCGGGACUGCCCUUGGAACUGCAUGGCUGGAGUGCGGGAGGGG